AGAUGGUGGAAGCCUCUCUGACCAAAUCCUGGGGAUUGUCAUAGAUGAUGUGUGUGAUAUCUUAGUUGAUGAGUGUGAUGUCAUGGUAGUUCUCAAGCAAUUGAACAACAUGUGCUCUCAUUAUGACUGGUGUAACCGGCUAGUCGAGCGCUAAACUAAGAGGCAGGGCCUUGCAGGGAAAUCUGUUCAUUUUUCCUCUACUUCAAAGGGUACGUGGCGAUCCACACUCUCACAUUCAACACGUAGGAGAUACUGUCGACAGGAAAGAACUGGUACCUGGCGAUCCACACUCUCACAUUCAACACGUAGGAGAUACUGUCGACAGGAAAGAACUUCUGCUGAAAGGACACCAUCAAUGGCUUCUGAGAAUGAAGAUGUUCCUCCUCCUGGUCCGAUCCAGUUUUUGUCAGUGCGGCCAGACUCAGUGUCAUUAUGCUGGUCACCUCCAGAGGACG